rfam:Mycobacterium chubuense NBB4, complete genome.
GCAGGCCCGUGCAGUGCGGCCUCUGCCCGAACCGGCCCUGACGUACUUCCCCGACGUCAGGUUCGUGCUCUCGGACAGGGACCUCACUGCAGGGGCCGCCCCGA